UCCCCGAUUUCCGGGGCAGUCUCCUUAGAGUUCCCGGCAUUACCCGCUGGCAACUAAGGGCAGGGGUUGCGCUCGUUGCGGCACUUAAGCCAGCACCUCACGGCACGAGCUGACGACAGCCAUGCGGCACCUGUGCUAGCCCCCGAAGGACACGGGCUUUCACCCGCUUUAACUAGCAUGUCAAGCCCAGGUAAGGUUCUUCGCGUUGCAUCGAAUUAAACCACAUGCUCCACCGCUUGUGCGGGCCCCCGUCAAUUCCUUUGAGUUUCGGCCUUGCGACCGUACUCCCCAGGCGGAGUGCUUAACGCGUUAGCUAAGGCACUGCAGGGGUCGAUACCCGCAGCACCGAGCACUCAUCGUUUACAGCGUGGACUAC
rnacentral:misc_RNA from 1 species